rnacentral:rRNA from 1 species
CCUACGGGUGGCAGCAGUGAGGAAUAUUGGUCAAUGGACGAGAGUCUGAACCAGCCAAGUAGCGUGAAGGAUGACUGCCCUAUGGGUUGUAAACUUCUUUUAUAAAGGAAUAAAACGAGGCACGUGUGCCUUUUUGCAUGUACUUUAUGAAUAAGGAUCGGCUAACUCCGUGCCAGCAGCCGCGGUAAUACGGAGGAUCCGAGCGUUAUCCGGAUUUAUUGGGUUUAAAGGGAGCGUAGAUGGGUUGUUAAGUCAGUUGUGAAAGUUUGCGGCUCAACCGUGAAAUUGCAAUUGAUACUGGCAGGCUGGAGUAUGGUUGAGGUAGGCGGAAUUCGUGGUGUAGCGGUGAAAUGCUUAGAUAUCACGAAGAACCCCGAUUGCGAAGGCAGCUUACUAAACUGUAACUGACAUUGAUGCUCGAAAGUGUGGGUAUCGAACAGGAUUAGAUACCCCUGUAGUC